rnacentral:lncRNA from 1 species
GUCGUCUUUGUUCAAGAACAACCUUGAUAUCAUCUAGUCAAUAGCGGACUUUGAACCUCUAGAAUAAAAGAAGAUUUUUCAGCAAUUUUCCAAACAUUCUCCCACCACCUCCGCGGAUGAUUACCAUUAUAAUUGGGAGAAGAAGAAUCAUGUACGGAAUUAUGAUGGGUUAGUUGGGCGUAAGAGGGAUGUGUAUGUGAAUUGUUACUCAUGGUUUGUUUGAUCUAUAAACUAAAUAAGAGCGCUAACAAAGCAGGGGACGAUGUUAUUUGAGUUAAUUCUUGA